UGCGUAGGCGGCUUUUUAAGUCAGGGGUGAAAACUUGCGGCUCAACCGUAAGCUUGCCUUUGAUACUGAGGAGCUUGAAUACACUUGAGGUAGGCGGAAUGUGACAAGUAGCGGUGAAAUGCAUAGAUAUGUCACAGAACACCAAUUGCGAAGGCAGCUUACUAAAGUGAGAUUGACGCUGAGGCACGAAAGCGUGGGGAUCAAACAGGAUUAGAUACCCUGGUAGUCCACGCCCUAAACGAUGAAUACUCGAUGUUAGCGAUAUACAGUUAGCGUCUAAGCGAAAGCGUUAAGUAUUCCACCUGGGGAGUACGCCCGCAAGGGUGAAACUCAAAGGAAUUGACGGGGGCCCGCACAAGCGGAGGAGCAUGCUGGUUUAAUUCGAUGAUACGCGAGGAACCUUACCCGGGCUUGAAAGUUACUGAAGUUCCCAGAGAUGGGAGCGUCCUUCGGGACAGGAAACUAGGUGCUGCAUGGCUGUCGUCAGCUCGUGCCGUGAGGUGUUGGGUUAAGUCCCGCAACGAGCGCAACCCCUGUGAAUAGUUGCCAGCACGUUAAGGUGGGGACUCUAUUCAGACUGCCUGUGCAAACAGUGAGGAAGGAGGGGACGACGUCAAGUCAUCAUGGCCCUUACGUCCGGGGCUACACACGUGCUACAAUGGAUGGUACAGAGGGCUGCUACCUGGUAACAGGAUGCCAAUCUCAUAAAGCCAUUCACAGUUCGGAUUGAGGUCUGCAACUCGACCUCAUGAAGUUGGAUUCGCUAGUAAUCGCGUAUCAGCAAUGACGCGGUGAAUACGUUCCCGGGCCUUGUACACACCGCCCGUCAAGCCAUGGAAAGCUGGGGGUACCUGAAGUAUGUAACCGCAAGGAGCGUCCUAGGGUAAAACCGGUAACUGGGGCUAAGCUCG
rnacentral:rRNA from 1 species